AUUGAACGCUGGCGGCAUGCCUUACACAUGCAAGUCGAACGGCAGCACGGGGGUAACCCUGGUGGCGAGUGGCGAACGGGUGAGUAAUGCAUCGGAACGUACCCGGAAGUGGGGGGAUAACGUAGCGAAAGUUACGCUAAUACCGCAUAUUCUGUGAGCAGGAAAGCAGGGGAUCGCAAGACCUUGCGCUUUCGGAGCGGCCGAUGUCGGAUUAGCUAGUUGGUGAGGUAAAAGCUCACCAAGGCGACGAUCCGUAGCUGGUCUUAGAGGAUGAUCAGCCACACUGGGACUGAGACACGGCCCAGACUCCUACGGGAGGCAGCAGUGGGGAAUUUUGGACAAUGGGCGAAAGCCUGAUCCAGCCAUGCCGCGUGAGUGAAGAAGGCCUUCGGGUUGGUUAAAAG
rnacentral:rRNA from 1 species